GCUUCAAUAGCUCAGUUGGUUAGAGCACAUGACUGUUAAUCAUGGGGUCGUUGGUUCAAGCCCAUCUUGAAGCGCCA
rnacentral:tRNA from 1 species